AUUGAACGCUGGCGGCAUGCCUUACACAUGCAAGUCGAACGGCAGCACGGACUUCGGUCUGGUGGCGAGUGGCGAACGGGUGAGUAAUGCAUCGGAACGUACCUUUCAGUGGGGGAUAACGUAGCGAAAGUUACGCUAAUACCGCAUAUUCUGUGAGCAGGAAAGCAGGGGAUCGCAAGACCUUGCGCUGAUUGAGCGGCCGAUAUCAGAUUAGCUAGUUGGUGAGGUAAAGGCUCACCAAGGCGACGAUCUGUAGCGGGUCUGAGAGGAUGAUCAGCCACACUGGAACUGAGGCACGGUCCAGGCACCUACGGGAGGCAGCAGUGGGGAAUUUUGGGCAAUGGGGGCAACCCUGAUCCAGCCAUGCCGCGUGAGGGAAGAAGACCUUCGGGUUGUAAAGCUCUUUCGGCCGGGAAGAAAUCGUAUCAGCUAAUACCUGGUGCGGAUGACGGUACCGGCAUAAGAAGCACCGGCUAACUACGUGCCAGCCGCCGCCGUAAGAC
rnacentral:rRNA from 1 species